GACGAACGCUGGCGGCGUGCUUAACACAUGCAAGUCGAACGCGCCUGUCCUCUGGGUUUCUGGGGGGUGGGUGAGUGGCGAACGGGUGAGUAACACGUGAGUAACCUGCCCCCUUCUUCGGGAUAACGGUCUGAAAGGGCUGCUAAUACCGGGUAUUCACUGGUCUCCGCAUGGGGUCUGGUGGAAAGGUUUUUUUCUGGUGGGGGAUGGGCUCGCGGCCUAUCAGCUUGUUGGUGGGGUGAUGGCCCACCAAGGCUUUGACGGGUAGCCGGCCUGAGAGGGUGAACGGUCACAUUGGGACUGAGAUACGGCCCAGACUCCUACGGGAGGCAGCAGUGGGGAAUAUUGCACAAUGGGCGCAAGCCUGAUGCAGCGACGCCGCGUGAGGGAUGGAGGCCUUCGGGUUGUGAACCUCUUUCGCCCGUGGUCAAGCCGCGACGUGGGUCGUGGUGAGGGUAGUGGGUAAAGAAGCGCCGGCUAACUACGAG
rnacentral:rRNA from 1 species